GGGCUUGACAUCCCACGAACCUGCCUGAAAGGGUGGGGUGCCCGCAAGGGAGCGUGGAGACAGGUGGUGCAUGGCUGUCGUCAGCUCGUGUCGUGAGAUGUUGGGUUAAGUCCCGCAACGAGCGCAACCCUCACCCCUAGUUGCGACCGGGUUAUGCCGAGCACUCGAGGGGAACUGCCAGCGUCAAGCUGGAGGAAGGCGGGGAUGACGUCAAGUCAUCAUGCCCCUUACGCCCUGGGCUACACACGUGCUACAAUGGCCAGUACAAAGGGAUGCGAGACUGCGAAGUGGAGCUAAUCCCAAAAAGCUGGUCUAAGUUCAGAUUGCAGUCUGCAACUCGACUGCAUGAAGGAGGAAUCGCUUGUAAUCGCGCAUCAGCACGGCGCGGUGAAUACGUUCCCGGGCCUUUACACACCGCCCGUCACACCACGAAAGCUGUCUGUACUCGAAGUCGCUGAG
rnacentral:rRNA from 1 species